CAGACUGGUAUAAGGUUCUGGCAUGCUUUUAUCAAGGAAUGUUGACACACAUCUGCUUAAAAUCAUUUAAGUUUAUCAUCUCCACUGACUCAUAGGGCAGCAUACACAGAAAAGCAGGAGGAUGAGGUAAUCAUCACUCAACAGAAAGUACAGCUCAAAGAUCCAGAAAAGUCUCGAUGUGCUGGAUAUGCUCAGAGCUAUUAACUGCUUUGUGGCUGUUGCUGUCCUAUUGAAGGAUAAGAGAAGUAGGUAGAGGAAUGGCUGUAUGAGGCAGUGCCCAGCUCAAGAAUGAGCCUGCGCUGCUGGCCGGAGGCCCGCCUUUCGAAGCCAGACGUGAUGCUGGAGGCUGCAAGGACAAGGACAACACAUGGGUUCCAACAAGACCCUCAGCUCCUGGGGAACACGUGGCAACGGUCAGAAGCCAAUGGGCACAAACAUCAUCAGGCAUUAAGCGGCAUCAAACCACGCAUGCGUAAAACACCCCGCUCACAAAGUGGGAAGCUGUGAAUCCAAUUCAACCUGUGGAUAUAUUUUAUUUAAUUCCUGACAGUUUCACU